UUCGAGGGCAUAAAGGAGUAGGGACAGAGAGGCGGUGUUUUGGUUCCCAGGCGGAAGGAGAGGGACGGUGCACACCCUCAUCCAUGCCGGCUGUUUUGUUUGUUUGCGUCUGGGAAAAUUGUCGUCAUUUGGUCGCGCUGUUCGGACACAUCAGGUGUGACUUCAGGGGCUGAUCACCAAGUCAGUGUCUCUGGUGUGUAGCGGAGCUUGCGAUCGCAAAGUCACCGGAUGUUGUACUUGGCGGGUGUUGCUGGGAAGGUUUGGGCCCCGCACAUCAGGUACGCACAGAGAUAUGUAUUUGUUUUUGUCUAUGGCCACUGUGUAAUUGAUGUUGAGGAUAUGGUUUUGUAUUAUGUUUAUUGUGGGAUUAGUGAAAUGUAUUAAGAUGACCUGUCUGUGUGGGAGAAUAAUUGGAUCAUCCUAUAACAGUGCUUGUUAGGACGGAUAGAUAGAGGUUCACAGAUU